rnacentral:rRNA from 1 species
AUUGAACGCUGGCGGCAGGCCUAACACAUGCAAGUCGAACGAGUGGCGGACGGGUGAGUAAUGUCUGGGAAUCUGCCUGAUGGAGGGGGAUAACUACUGGAAACGGUAGCUAAUACCGCAUACCAUCGGAUGUGCCCAGAUGGGAUUAGCUAGUAGGUGGGGUAAAGGCUCACCUAGUCGACGAUCCCUAGCUGGUCUGAGAGGAUGACCAGCCACACUGGAACUGAGACACGGUCCAGACUCCUACGGGAGGGAGCAGUGGGGAAUAUUGCACAAUGGGCGCAAGACUGAUGCAGCCAUGCCGCGUGUAUGAAGAAGGCCUUCGGGGUGGAAAGUACUUUCAGCGGGGAGGCGUUACCCGCAGAAGAAGCACCGGCUAACUCCGUGCCAGCAGCCGCGGUAAUUC